CAGAAAGGAGAACGAAAGAAAAGAGCGAAAGAAAAACGAAGAGAUCAAAUUCAUCAAAAAAGAGGUUUCACUGCAGCUAAAUAAAAAGAGACGAGUACAGAAGCAAUAUCAACAGAAGCAACAUCGAUAUAAAGGAAAAAGGACUCGUUAUACAAGCUACACGCCGUUUUAUGAUCCACCAUCCUUGACAUAUGGACCCUCCAUGAUGUACCCACCAUUCAUGCAGCCACCCAUACAGUUACCAAUACAGCCACUCAUACAACCACCACUGCAACCACCACCAAUAAACCCACCACCAAUGCCACAUAUGAUGCAGUUUCCACCACUGGCACCAAUGAACACACACUAUGUUCUGUAGUAGCUACAUGUAUGCCAUGUGUUUGCUAUGAAUUGAAUUGCGUUUUUGGUAUCUUACCUUCAAAUCAAUCUUUUACCACCAAUGCACACACAUUAAGUUUUAUAGUACAUGUAUACAUGUGUUUGCCAUGAAUUGAAUUGUGUUUUUGAUAUGUUACCUUCAAAUCAAUCUUUUUCAAACAAAAAA